GACCAUCCUCCAAGGCUAAAUACUCCUGACUGACCGAUAGUGAACCAGUACCGUGAGGGAAAGGCGAAAAGAACCCCGGCGAGGGGAGUGAAAAAGAACCUGAAACCGUGUACGUACAAGCAGUGGGAGCACGCUUAGGCGUGUGACUGCGUACCUUUUGUAUAAUGGGUCAGCGACUUAUAUUCUGUAGCAAGGUUAACCGAAUAGGGGAGCCGAAGGGAAACCGAGUCUUAACUGGGCGUUAAGUUGCAGGGUAUAGACCCGAAACCCGGUGAUCUAGCCAUGGGCAGGUUGAAGGUUGGGUAACACUAACUGGAGGACCGAACCGACUAAUGUUGAAAAAUUAGCGGAUGACUUGUGGCUGGGGGUGAAAGGCCAAUCAAACCGGGAGAUAGCUGGUUCUCCCCGAAAGCUAUUUAGGUAGCGCCUCGUGAAUUCAUCUCCGGGGGUAGAGCACUGUUUCGGCAAGGGGGUCAUCCCGACUUACCAACCCGAUGCAAACUGCGAAUACCGGAGAAUGUUAUCACGGGAGACACACGGCGGGUGCUAACGUCCGUCGUGAAGAGGGAAACAACCCAGACCGCCAGCUAAGGUCCCAAAGUCAUGGUUAAGUGGGAAACGAUGUGGGAAGGCCCAGACAGCCAGGAUGUUGGCUUAGAAGCAGCCAUCAUUUAAAGAAAGCGUAAUAGCUCACUGGUCGAGUCGGCCUGCGCGGAAGAUGUAACGGGGCUAAACCAUGCACCGAAGCUGCGGCAGCGACACUAUGUGUUGUUGGGUAGGGGAGCGUUCUGUAAGCCUGUGAAGGUGUACUGUGAGGUAUGCUGGAGGUAUCAGAAGUGCGAAUGCUGACAUAAGUAACGAUAAAGCGGGUGAAAAGCCCGCUCGCCGGAAGACCAAGGGUUCCUGUCCAACGUUAAUCGGGGCAGGGUGAGUCGACCCCUAAGGCGAGGCCGAAAGGCGUAGUCGAUGGGAAACAGGUUAAUAUUCCUGUACUUGGUGUUACUGCGAAGGGGGGACGGAGAAGGCUAUGUUGGCCGGGCGACGGUUGUCCCGGUUUAAGCGUGUAGGCUGGUUUUCCAGGCAAAUCCGGAAAAUCAAGGCUGAGGCGUGAUGACGAGGCACUACGGUGCUGAAGCAACAAAUGCCCUGCUUCCAGGAAAAGCCUCUAAGCAUCAGGUAACAUCAAAUCGUACCCCAAACCGACACAGGUGGUCAGGUAGAGAAUACCAAGGCGCUUGAGAGAACUCGGGUGAAGGAACUAGGCAAAAUGGUGCCGUAACUUCGGGAGAAGG
rnacentral:rRNA from 1 species